UUACUGACGCUAAAGCUCGAAGGUGCGGGUAUCGAACAGGAUUAGAUACCCUGGUAGUCCGCACGGUAAACGAUGGAUGCCCGCUGUUGGCGAUAUAGUGUCAGCGGCCAGGCGAAAGCGUUAAGCAUCCCACCUGGGGAGUACGCCGGCAAACGGUGAAACUCAAAGGAAUUGACGGGGGCCCGCACAAGCGGAGGAACAUGUGGUUUAAUUCGAUGAUACGCGAGGAACCUUACCCGGGCUUGAACUGCAGGCGAACGAUACAGAGAUGUUGAGGCCCUUCGGGGCGCCUGUGGAGGUGCUGCAUGGUUGUCGUCAGCUCGUGCCGUGAGGUGUCGGCUUAAGUGCCAUAACGAGCGCAACCCUUUUCAUUAGUUGCCAUCAGGUAAUGCUGGGCACUCUGGUGAUACUGCCACCGUAAGGUGUGAGGAAGGUGGGGAUGACGUCAAAUCAGCACGGCCUUGACGUCCGGGGCUACACACGUGUUACAAUGGGUGGUACAGAGAGCCGGCCGUACGCAAGUGUGGUCCAAUCAAGAAAGCCAUCCUCAGUUCGGACUGGGGUCUGCAACCCGACCCCACGAAGCUGGAUCGCUAGAAU
rnacentral:rRNA from 1 species